CGCACAAAAAAAAAAAAAAUCCAACCUAAAUUGUAAAUAAAAUAAACACGUAACAAUUCAUUCUGUGCUAUUUUUCAUUGUGAGUCAGUGAGUGACCGGUGACUGACUGCUGCAGCCAAUGAUGCGAUUCACAUACAUAUUUACCAUAGACUGUAUAGAAUGGUAUUUACGCAGCUAAUCAACGUCAUGCGUCCUUAUGUGCAGCCAUCGUUGUUCUCAUAGAUAUGAAUGAGUAGAUAGGACACGCCCCUUUGAGCUGAGUGCUACAGCGAGGCUAAGCUAGUGGGGGAAAAGUUUCAGUGCAUUCCGUUGAUGUAGACAUCGUGAAAAUGGAAACAAGUAUGCCGGCUCACUGUGCUGCAUACAAUUGCACACUGUGUCGUACGAUUGAGACAAGGAAACUUGGAAUGACUUUUCAUAGGUUUCCCAGAGACUAUGGGUUGAGGAGGAAUUGGAAGUUUGUCGGCUUAGACCUGGUGUCAUUCCAUCAGUGUUAAACUUCCCGGCUCAUCUUUGAAGAGUACGUGCCAGAAAGACCACGACCAAGCAGCCUUGAGAUCUUAGACAGCGUCUCCCUGAGACAUCCACCAACCACUGGAACACAUCUCCAAAGUUCUGCCGGGCCAGCUCAGCUUCCCCUCAGAAGAAGUUCCACCAGAUGAAGGAGCCUUUUGAGGGCAGCUGGCAUCGUGAUUGGACUGUACUUUGGUCUGUUCCAAUCCAGCUUCAGCUCCAGAGACGGCAGGCGGGACGAGUCAACGGAGGCCUGGUGGACGAAGGCAUGCAGCUGAGUACAAUCCAGAAAACAACAGAGGAGGAGUGCAGCAGCCAGAACAAGCAGAGUAGCAUCUCCAUCCUGGCCGACUUCAACACCUCUUCAUGACAACUUGUUCUGCCUCGGACCUCGUGGAAACUCCAGAAACUCGGGAAAACCUGUCGAGACUCGAAGAACUCGUGGAGACUCGAAGAACUCGUCGGGUGGGGGAAGGUGUGGUGGGCGGUGGAGGGAGGUGGGGGAGUAGAGGGGGGAGGCCACCACCCACCUCCCCGCCUACUCUCCGCCCUGACUCCACCCAGACUCCGCCUUGGCUCUGCCCAUGUGGUCACUUCACGAACUACGAUGUCAAAGGGACGACGAAUUUAUUUCUUUUCAUCUGAUCUGUAGCUCAGUGAGUUAAGGAUUUGCCUAUGGAGCUGCAGGUCGCUGGUUCAAGACCAGACCCUUCUUAAGUUUUCUCAAAAUUCUGACAAAGACAAAGAAAGAAAAAUGCCGGUGGUGGGUCUUGAACCUGCGACCUUCCAGUUGGUAGUCUUCUUCUUAUCCCCCUGAGCUACUCGCUCAGAUACUAAUUCUUCUUUUUUUUGCGCAUUUAUCAUCUAUUUUUUGUCGUUUUCGAGUUUUUUUUUUAACUCGAGUCUCGACUCGACCGUUUUUCUCAGGAGGCUGGACUUCGGCCUUUGUGCUGGAGGGUUGAACCCUCAGUUCCAAGACUUUCCAAAGCCUCCACACCUCCCGAGUCCUCUGGACCUGAGUUUUCAGACAGUCUGAGGGCUGAAAUUUUCUAAGUCCCACAGUAGUUCUCUGUUAGAUUUAACUUUCAGACAGUCCAAGGACUGAUAUCUUCAAAGUUCCUGAGUAGUUCUCUGUUAGUCUGAACCUUCAGACAGUCUGAGGACUGAAAUUUUCUAAGUCCCACAGUAGAUCUCUGUUAGAUUUAACUUUCAGACAGCCCAAGGACUGAUAUCUUCUAAGUUCCUGAGUAGUUCUCUGUUCGUUUGAACCUUUAGACAGUCUGAGGACUGAAAUUUUAAAAGUUUCUCAGUACUUCUCUGUUAGUUUGAACUUUCUGGUUAACAGAAGCCUUAAAACUUGUGACCAUGAGUCUUGAUUUCACAUUUAGACCAUCCAUCUGAGUUCUUCUCAGACCUUCAUAUGUGGGUUAUUUAGAAAUCCUGAACAAACUUUGAUUCUCUUCACUGAACAGUAAAGUUUGUGGAGAUCAGAAGGUAACAUUAGUUUGAUAAAUGCCUUCAACUACUAGUAGACUUUAUCUGGAAAGCAGUUUUCUGAAAUGAGUUCUUAGUAAAUCUGUCCACAAUCAAAUCAAGCGCACAGAAAGAGGAAGCGUUUGAAGAAACAACUUGAUGUUUUCAUUUCAGACUAGAAAACACUUUAAGGCCUUUAUUUGUUUUUGCUCUUUUUGAUCAUUUUAUUGUCUCUUCUGUUUAAUUUGAUCUUCUAAAGUUUAACUGGUGUCUUUUCAAAUGUUUUGUGUUUAGUUUGAUUCUUCUUAAAUGUUUAGUUUUGCUCUUUUCUCACCUUUUAUUCUGUUCUAAUGUCUGAUCUGAUUUCGAAAUGUUUUGUCUUUUUAAUGUUUAAUUGUUGUUUUUUCAAAUGUUUUAUCGGCUUGUUUGAAAAA